AUUGAACGCUGGCGGCAGGCCUAACACAUGCAAGUCGAGCGGUUGAGGUAGCUUGCUACCGAUGCAGCGGCGGACGGGUGAGUAAUACAUGGGAAUCUGCCUGGUAGUGGGGGACAACGUUUCGAAAGGAACGCUAAUACCGCAUACGCCCUACGGGGGAAAGAGGGGGAUCUUCGGACCUCUCGCUAUCAGAUGAGCCCAUGUCAGAUUAGCUAGUUGGUGGGGUAAAGGCCUACCAAGGCGACGAUCUGUAACUGGUCUGAGAGGAUGAUCAGUCACACUGGAACUGAGACACGGUCCAGACUCCUACGGGAGGCAGCAGUGGGGAAUAUUGGACAAUGGGCGAAAGCCUGAUCCAGCCAUGCCGCGUGUGUGAAGAAGGCCCUAGGGUUGUAAAGCACUUUCAGUGGGGAGAAAGGCCUUUUGCUUAAUACGUAAGAGGAUUGAUGUUACCCACAGAAGAAGCACCGGCUAACUCCGUGCCAGCAGCCGCCGUAAGAC
rnacentral:rRNA from 1 species